AUUCAGAACUCUUUCAAGAACUAAAGAGAAGGUGAAACUCCAUGCAGAGAAGAAUGAGAUGGUAAUUUGGAGAGGCAAUGAUAGGCUGAUACCAAGCCUUAGAUGUUUUCAAGGGUGGAGCCUCAGAGUAUACACGUUGGACAUUGCAUUCCACAAUCCUGCCAAUAAGUCAAAAGUGGCCGUCAGCCUAACACUUGGGCCCUGUAGAAGAAACUUCUGUCCAAAGCUACCCUAUAGUUGGCUGCCUGGCUUCAGAGCUUUUUUUGAACUUGGAAGACUUCAAGCCCCAACUGAGGAAUCCUUGAUGCUCUGUUGUUUUGUCUUGCUAAAAUGUACAAGAAACUUGCACAGCUCUGUCCUUCAGGCUUAAAAUCAUCCCAGGGAGGUCACUCUAAUUCCUUUUAAUGUGUGCUGAAGAAAGGGCAGCACAGCUGAAGCCUGAUUUAAAAUCUGAUCUUCUCCCUAAUGUCACAAGGACAUCCUGAGACAAUGGCUGAGGAGCUAUGCACCAGUACCCAGCUGGAUCCCUGAUACUUACAUUGGCAGAUGCAUUAUCAACAGAGACAUCGAUUUAGAGUGAAUUAAAGGAAUUACAAAGAUCAAGAUGAAUUCAGUGAAGCUUCCCAUAGGACUGUUCAAAGAUCUCCAGGCCUGCCAUUCAUGCAUUCAUGUGAGAGAGACACUUUGGGCCUAAGAAAUGAAGGCCAAUUCAUGUGGAGUCAGUCCUCUUAUAACCACAGUAGGAUAGAACUUGUUUCUGAGACCUUCAGAAGGACUAAGCCCUAGGCAAACAGCCCCAGUGAAGUCAGCUCUAAGGACAUAUUGAGGGAACAAUCGGAGAAACUGGUUGUUUUACGGAGGCUUUGACUGGAAUGGUGUCCUUUCCUUUAAGGAAUCAAACUUAACUUACGGAUCCAACAAAAGCCCCUUGAGAAAACUGGACUCAUACUUGUCUACGCAGUCUCUGAACAGAGUUCCUGACCUGUGUCUAAGAAAACCCAGGCUGAGG
rnacentral:lncRNA from 10 species